rnacentral:tRNA from 1 species
GGUGGGUGUAGCUUAUCUGGUAAAGCAUCAGUUUGUGACACUGGGGACUGCGGGUUCAAGCCCCGCCACUCACC